AGAGUUUGAUCCUGGCUCAGGAUGAACGCUGGCGGCGUGCUUAACACAUGCAAGUCGAACGAAGCACUUUAUUAUGAUUUCUUCGGAAUGACGAUUUAGUAACUGAGUGGCGGACGGGUGAGUAACGCGUGGGUGACCUGCCUUAUACAGGGGGAUAACAGUUAGAAAUGACUGCUAAUACCGCAUAAGCGCACAGGAUUGCAUGAUCUGGUGUGAAAAACUCCGGUGGUAUAAGAUGGACCCG
rnacentral:rRNA from 1 species